rnacentral:rRNA from 1 species
UACGUAGGGUGCAAGCGUUGUCCGGAAUUAUUGGGCGUAAAGGGCUCGUAGGCGGUUUGUCGCGUCGGGAGUGAAAACUCAGGGCUUAACCCUGAGCCUGCUUCCGAUACGGGCAGACUAGAGGUAUGCAGGGGAGAAUGGAAUUCCUGGUGUAGCGGUGAAAUGCGCAGAUAUCAGGAGGAACACCGGUGGCGAAGGCGGUUCUCUGGGCAUUACCUGACGCUGAGGAGCGAAAAGUGUGGGGGAGCGAACAGG